rnacentral:lncRNA from 1 species
AUGUGCAAACAGCUUGCAGGGCUGAAUUGCCUGCCUAUGGCGUUUGGAUUACUGAAAGUCAGAGACCAUCCUGAAGUACUUAGCAGGGACGGCGUCAAGCAGCUCUAUUUCGAGAUGGAGAUGCUGAAUGUCUGGCCCACAGAUGAAAAGGUGAAGGAGAGAAGCACUGGAGGGAAUCACCAUCUCCUGCUGCCAGCUUUCUGAAUGACUAGUGGUGUGUAACUUUUGUCAUGUAUUCUCCUUCAUACAGAGAUAAGGAAGGGCCCAUGCUGAGAUAUCUGAGUGUAUAUCUUUUGGUAGAGCAAUGAGCUAGCCCUGAACUAGCUUCAGCAUUCCUCCUCAUCUGAAGAGGAAUUGUUACUGAAGCACAAACAUGUAAUCAUGGGAAAUGCUAUAAUUAAACAUAAAUCUCUGCUUCAAACUGAAAGAGCACUGAGACUUCAUUUCUGUGUAACUGAAAGACUGGAACAAGAGCACAACUAUUAGAAAAUUUACCUUUGAAUCAAUUUCUUAGUGUGCUGUGCUUGCUCUUUUGGUCUAACCCACAAAUUUGUACUUGUAAGGUUAGUCCAAAACUGUACAUUAUUUACCAACAUCAACUUUAAAACUCAAGGGUCUGGCAAUGCUCCAUCCUGGAACUGAAGAGAUGAUACUGUAUGCUUCUAAGAAAUGUAACGACUAUGCCUGAAAAUAUUGCCCCUUGUAUAAAUCUACAUACAACAAGUUGAGAUCAAGCAGAGAUUUCAUAAAGCUUUUUACUCUUUUGUCCAUUAAAUUGUUUUGGAGUCAUAAGCUAAGGUCUGUAUGUUCUCAAACACAAAGACUGACUUACAAAGCAUGUUGCACCUCUAUUCCCACUGAGAUACCUACUGAGGCUACUUAAAAGCCCUCCUUCACCACAGUAUAUGAACAAUUUAAUAUUUUGAAGCAAAGAAAACAGUAACUAUCAUUUUCUUGCUUCAAGUUUUAACACUAGCAGACUUCAGGAGAAAUGCUGAGUGUAACAGGGCUCUGGAUUUGCUAUAAUUAGAGCUGGAAAGCUCUGAAAUUUGGGCUGAAAUUGGGCUGAUUUUUAAGUCUUUAAAGAACCUCAAGUCUUAGCUUGUAUUGCAAUUUUCUGGCAUCAUGGGAAAGGCUGAAAUAAUCUGAUCAGGGUAUUUAUAAAAUCCAGUCUUCACUAAGAAUCAGCUUCCUUCUUGUCCUGUCUUUAAAUGGGCAGGUUUGAUUAGUGCCAGGAUUAUUCUGAAUAUUCCUGGGGCUCAAGUAACAAGGCUGCCACUUACCUGGCCUCAUUCAUUCCAGCUGUUGGAGUAGUAAUGGUGAAGCUCUUAUGCAAGGCAUUUAGUGUGUGAACACUCUCAGUCUAAACCAGAUUGCAGCAUGUAUAAACAUAAUGUUGGGUUAAGGUUUCCAGCCAGUCUUUCACAACAGAACCUGAGUGGCGUGAGAGGAGACACCAUGGUCUCGGAAGAUGAGCUGUAGCCAAGCCCAGGUAGUUCAAUUAAAAACCUAAGUGAUGAACCUCAGGAAGAUAGCUGCAGCCAACUCCUGCUCAGGAAGCUGGGUUUUUGCUGGGGAGACAUAAUAAAUUUGUAAAAGGAAAGCA